CGCACGUGGAGACGGACGCGCACGUGGAGACGGACGCGCACGUGGAGACGGACGCGCACGUGGAGACGGAAGCGCCAUGAGGCUUCCGUCCGCAGACGUUCACAAGCUGCUCCAUGUAUGGGUCUCUGGCUCUUGAGACAAGCCCGCACUGGAGAGGCGGUCGGUCUUGGGCCUCUAGAUGAGUAUUGGGAGGGUGGUCUUCGGAGACUACUGGCGAUUCCCCUCAGAGAAAUAACAUCUGAGAAGUGAAGGAGAGAUGAGAACCGAAGGCAGCAAGAUAUGGAGGGGAAGGGAUAGAUGUUAUCAGAAGAGACAGGCAGCACCAUGCCAUGAGGACUCUAAAGCAGUCCUGUGAAGAGCCCCACAUGGACAGGAAUGAGCCCUCCCACCACCAGCCAGCACCAGCUUGCCAGCCACCUGAGGGCAUCGUCUUAGAAGCAGAUCCUCAUUUGCCCGGGGAAGUCCUCAGAUAAAAUCCCAGCCCUGAGCCUUUGGGUUUCCCAGCUGUGGCCACAGUCUCCAGAGUCCCUGAUCCACUGAAAUUGUGAGAGAGAAUAAAAGUGAUUGCUGUGCUAAGUCA
ensembl:lncRNA